CGGGAUCUAUCCCGUAAAGGAAUGUGGCUCAAAAGAGCUGAACCUGGAG
ncrna:unclassified sequences eL15-Euryarchaeota ribosomal protein leader